AGCACAGGUUUACCUGUGUGACUGCGUACCUUUUGUAUAAUGGGUCAGCGACUUAUAUUCUGUAGCAAGGUUAACCGUAUAGGGGAGCCGUAGGGAAACCGAGUCUUAACCGGGCGUUAAGUUGCAGGGUAUAGACCCGAAACCCGGUGAUCUAGCCAUGGGCAGGUUGAAGGUUGGGUAACACUAACUGGAGGACCGAACCGACUAAUGUUGAAAAAUUAGCGGAUGACCUGUGGCUGGGGGUGAAAGGCCAAUCAAACCGGGAGAUAGCUGGUUCUCCCCGAAAGCUAUUUAGGUAGCGCCUCGUGAAUUCAUCUCCGGGGGUAGAGCACUGUUUCGGCUAGGGGGCCAUCCCGGCUUACCAACCCGAUGCAAACUGCGAAUACCGGAGAAUGUUAUCACGGGAGACACACGGCGGGUGCUAACGUCCGUCGUGAAGAGGGAAACAACCCAGACCGCCAGCUAAGGUCCCAAAGUCAUGGUUAAGUGGGAAACGAUGUGGGAAGGCCCAGACAGCCAGGAUGUUGGCUUAGAAGCAGCCAUCAUUUAAAGAAAGCGUAAUAGCUCACUGGUCGAGUCGGCCUGCGCGGAAGAUGUAACGGGGCUAAACCAUGCACCGAAGCUGCGGCAGCGAACGUAUCACCCAAGACAACUUUACGGAGUUGACGAUUGACGGAGCGAAGCGACGUCAAAGCGUUCAUUAAAGUCGAGUUGGCUUAGGGAUACGUUCGUUGGGUAGGGGAGCGUUCUGUAAGCCUGUGAAGGUGUGUCGUGAGGCAUGCUGGAGGUAUCAGAAGUGCGAAUGCUGACAUAAGUAACGAUAAAGCGGGUGAAAAGCCCGCUCGCCGGAAGACCAAGGGUUCCUGUCCAACGUUAAUCGGGGCAGGGUGAGUCGACCCCUAAGGCGAGGCCGAAAGGCGUAGUCGAUGGGAAACGGGUUAAUAUUCCCGUACUUGGUGUUACUGCGAAGGGGGGACGGAGAAGGCUAUGUUGGCCGGGCGACGGUUGUCCCGGUUUAAGCGUGUAGGUGUGUGUUCCAGGUAAAUCCGGUU
rnacentral:rRNA from 1 species